UACGGAGGGGGCUAGCGUUGUUCGGAAUUACUGGGCGUAAAGCGUGCGCAGGCGGUGAUGUAAGACAGGUGUGAAAUCCCCGGGCUUAACCUGGGAACUGCAUUUGUGACUGCAUCGCUGGAGUGCGGCAGAGGGGGAUGGAAUUCCGCGUGUAGCAGUGAAAUGCGUAGAUAUUGGGAGGAACACCAGUGGCGAAGGCGGCUCACUGGACUGGUACUGACGCUGAGGCGCGAAAGCGUGGGGAGCAAACAGG
rnacentral:rRNA from 1 species